rnacentral:rRNA from 1 species
AAGUCGUAACAAGGUCUCCGUAGGUGAACCUGCGGAGGGAUCAUUACACAAAUAUGAAGCCGGACUGGGAUAGGGCCUCGCUGCCUUGCCCGUCUGGCGCCAUAUUCACCCAUGUCUUUUUGCGUACUACUUGUUUCCUUGGCGGGUCCGCCCGCCAAUUGGACCUUAUUCAAACCUUUUUUUCAGUUGCAAUCAGCGUCAGCAAAACAAAUGUAAUCAAUUACAACUUUCAACAACGGAUCUCUUGGUUCUGGCAUCGAUGAAGAACGCAGCGAAAUGCGAUAAGUAGUGUGAAUUGCAGAAUUCAGUGAAUCAUCGAAUCUUUGAACGCACAUUGCGCCCUUUGGUAUUCCAAAGGGCAUGCCUGUUCGAGCGUCAUUUGUACCCUCAAGCUUUGCUUGGUGUUGGGCGUCUUGUCUCUCUCCCGAGACUCGCCUUAAAAUCAUUGGCAGCCGGCCUACUGGUUUCGGAGCGCAGCACAUUAUUUGCGCUCUUGUCCAGCCGCGGUCGCGCGUCCAUGAAGCUUCUUUCAACCUUUUGACCUCGGAUCAGGUAGGGAUACCCGCUGAACUUA